UGGGGAAUAUUGGACAAUGGGCGAAAGCCCGAUCCAGCCAUGCCGCGUGCGUGAAGAAGGUCUUCGGAUUGUAAAGCACUUUAAGUUGGGAGGAAGGGCAGUAAGCGAAUACCUUGCUGUUUUGACGUUACCGACAGAAUAAGCACCGGCUAACUCUGUGCCAGCAGCCGCGGUAAUACAGAGGGUGCAAGCGUUAAUCGGAAUUACUGGGCGUAAAGCGCGCGUAGGUGGUUCGUUAAGUUGAAUGUGAAAGCCCCGGGCUCAACCUGGGAACUGCAUCCAAAACUGGCGAGCUAGAGUAGGGCAGAGGGUGGUGGAAUUUCCUGUGUAGCGGUGAAAUGCGUAGAUAUAGGAAGGAACACCAGUGGCGAAGGCGACCACCUGGGCUCAUACUGACACUGAGGUGCGAAAGCGUGGGGAGCAAACAGG
rnacentral:rRNA from 1 species